rnacentral:rRNA from 1 species
UUAAAGGGUGCGUAGGCGGCCYGUGUAAGUCAKUGGUGAAAKMUCUCCAGCUYAACUGGAGAACUGCCAUUGAUACUGCCGGGGCUUGAGUACAGACGAGGUAGGCGGAAUUGACGGUGUAGCGGUGAAAUGCAUAGAUAUCAUCAAGAACUCCGAUUGCGAAGACAGCUUACUAGACUGUAACUGACGCUGAGGCACGAAAGUGUGGGGAUCAAACAGGAUUAGAUACCCUGGUAGUCCACACUGUAAACGAUGAUGACUCGAUGUUGGCGAUACACUGCCAGCGUCCAAGAGCAAUCGUUAAGUCAUCCACCUGGGGAGUACGCCCGCAACGGUGAAACUCAAAGGAAUUGACGGGGGCCCGCACAAGCGGUGGAGCAUGUGGUUUAAUUCGACGCAACGCGAAGAACCUUACCUGGGCUUGACAUGGCGGUGAAAGCCUCCGGAAACGGGGGCCCUCCCUCGGGACGCCGUCACAGGUGCUGCAUGGCUGUCGUCAGCUCGUGUCGUGAGAUAUUGGGUUAAGUCCUGCACCGAGCGCAACCCUCGGCCCUAGUUACCAGUGGGUCAUGCCGGCGACUCUAGGGGGAUUGCCGGUGCCUAACCGGGGUUAGGCCCCUUCUACGUUAAGCCACCAUGGUCCCUCCCCCGGGAUCCAUAAUCUUCACA